UGGCGAUGCGCUUAGGGGUAACACCCGUUCCCAUCCCGAACACGAUGGUUAAGACCUAAGCGGCCGAUGGUACUUUACUGGAGACGGUACGGGAGAGUAGGUGGCUGCCAGAC
rnacentral:rRNA from 1 species